CACUCAAGAGCCAAGAAUAAUCGAUGUAGGCAUGCCCAAAGGCCCUCCUGGAGAGAACCUACAGAAAUGGUGAAGGGAGCAUCCCUUUGGAAGUCAAGAACAAGACCAAGGAGUACCUCUUCCUGGGUUUCUUCUUUCUGCAGUCGUUGCUUCCUGAGUGGUGGCAACCUUCACAGAGUGCAUCUGAGUUCUCUGUGCAGCAGAAUGGUCUACAUCUCAUGCCUGAGAAGACUGCACUGGAAAGCCUCCAUCUUUCAAAAGAGGGAUUUUGGCAUUUUCACUUCCUGGAGGAGCUGAGGUCACCUCAGAUGAGAAAUGUUGGGCAGAAUGUGGAACAGGCAGUCGGGGGAAAGAUGUGACUUCUGCUUUUAGCCACAUGGCCUUGGACAAAUUACUUUGCCUCAUCUGGCCCUCUUUUGUUCCUGAUGUUCUAGAAGGCAGACCAGGAUUUCCUAGAAGUCUCUGAACAUGGAUGGUUGGGAAGGAAGUUCUGGCUUGGGAUGUGGAGUGUAAGGCUGCUGAGAGGAGUAAGGGUGGAGGCAAGACUUUUCUGCAGAGUCUUGAGGAAGGAUUAAAAGCAAAAGGUAUCAUAGAUGCUAUUGGGAAAUCAACCUUGACCACCUUUUCUCCAACACAGAAUUGGACCAAAAUUGUGGCGCUUCUGACCUUGAAGGAAAACAUACUCUUACAUCUGAAUACAAAGUGGGGGCAGGGGUAGAAAGCAUAAUGUUUAUGCAAAGUGACUCUCAUGCUUGAGGCUCUGAAGUCCCAGGUUCAGUCCCCUGAACCACCAUAAACCAGAACUGAUCAGUGCUCUGGUAAGAAACAAACAAACAGCCAAAAAACAAUAUGGCGCAGCUGGAGUGUACCUCCUCCCAUCUCCCCACUGACCUGCAC